AUCCUACUCCCUCUGUUCGGAAUUACUUGUCUCGGAAAUGGAUGUAUCUAUAACUAAAAUGCGUCUAGAUACAUCAAUUUCCGCGACAAGUAAUUCCGAACGGAGGGAGUACAUC
rfam:Triticum aestivum genome assembly, contig: Triticum_aestivum_CS42_TGACv1_scaffold_221896_3B